rnacentral:misc_RNA from 1 species
GAUGAAGAACGCAGUGAAAUGCGAUACUUGGUGUGAAUUGCAGAAUCCCGUGAACCAUCGAGUCUUUGAACGCAAGUUGCGCCCGAAGCCAUUAGGCCGAGGGCACGCCUGCCUGGGCGUCACACGUCGUUGCCCCCCCAUCUACUCCUUCGGGAUUGCGGGGGGCGGAUGAUGGCCUCCCGUGCGCCUCGUCGCACGGUUGGCAUAAAUGCCAAGUCCUCGGCGACGCACGCCACGACAAUCGGUGGUUGCGAAACCUCGGUUGCCCGUCGUGUGCGGUCGUCGCGCAUCGAGGGCUCGAAAAAAUUGCCGGGCUCCGGCUCGGCUUUCAACGCGACCCCAGGUCAGGCGGGGUUACCCGCUGAAUUUAAGCAUAUCAAUAAGCGGAGGA